GUGCAGAGCUGCUGUCAUGGCGGCCGCUCUGUGGGGCUUCUUUCCCGUCCUGCUGCUGCUGCUGCUAUCGGGGGAUGUCCAGAGCUCGGAGAUGGGAGUUUUGUGGUUCAUGAUAUACCUUCUGGAUCUUAUGUAGUGGAAGUUGUAUCUCCAGCUUACAGAUUUGAUCCCGUUCGAGUGGAUAUCACUUCGAAAGGAAAAAUGAGCAAGAUAUGUGAAUUACAUCAAAACAUCAGAGGUUGUCAGACUGCCCUAUCCUCUCCAAAUGAAAUCUUCAGGUCCACCUUCUUACUUUAUUAAAAGGGAAUCGUGGGGCUGGACAGACUUUCUAAUGAACCCAAUGGUUAUGAUGAUGGUUCUUCCUUUAUUGAUAUUUGUGCUUCUGCCUAAAGUGGUCAACACAAGUGAUCCUGACAUGAGACGGGAAAUGGAGCAGUCAAUGAAUAUGCUGAAUUCCAACCAUGAGUUGCCUGAUGUUUCUGAGUUCAUGACAAGACUCUUCUCUUCAAAAUCAUCUGGCAAAUCUAGCAGCGGCAGCAGUAAAACAGGCAAAAGUGGGGCUGGCAAAAGGAGGUAGUCAGGCCGUCCAGAGCUGGCAUUUGCACAAACACGGCAACACUGGGUGGCAUCCAAGUCUUGGAAAACCGUGUGAAGCAACUACUAUAAACUUGAGUCAUCCCGACGUUGAUCUCUUACAACUGUGUAUGUUAACUUUUUAGCACAUGUUUUGUACUUGGUACACGAGAAAACCCAGCUUUCAUCUUUUGUCUGUAUGAGGUCAAUAUUGAUGUCACUGAAUUAAUUACAGUGUCCUAUAGAAAAUGCCAUUAAUAAAUUAUAUGAACUACUAUACAUUAUGUAUAUUAAUUAAAACAUCUUAAUCCA
rnacentral:lncRNA from 1 species